GCCCUGGUGCAAUCUGAACGUGCCCUUUGCACCUCCGGGAUUUCUGGCUGACCCUGAGGGGAUGGUGGAACCAUGAUGGGCAUUCUCACGCCGGGCGGCUGCUGUGCUGUUCAACAAUUACUUCAAGGUCGGAUACCUUCAGAAUUUUUUGUUCUUUCGCCCAGCUCUCACGCGUCUUCACCGGUGUGAGCGGUCUCUCCUGGCCACGUUGUGCUGUAGUGCCUGUAGCGAACCUGCGAGGGUCGGUGCGUUUGUCACUGGUUGCAAGAGAUACAUGGAUCAUGGACCGACGACUCCAGGUACCUCCACUAUUCGUCACACUAAUUAACAGUAUCGUGCUUCUGCUAGUUCUGGAUAACAUUAGCAGCACAGCACAGCGGACUGGAAGGAGGGUGAUGGGUUGACUCGUAAAAGCCCCUUCGUUUGUUCAGUUCAGCUCGGGAGCGACAAAGAGGAAGAUUGACAGGACAAUACGGCAGGCGGUGAUUGACAUGUAUUCGGGCAUUUCGCGGCACUAGGACUGUGGAACUGAGCACAAAAGGACUAUAAGCAACUGCACCACGGUUAGUAGUGUUGUUAAUCGUGUUUUUUUUUUAGGUAUUAGUAAACCAGUGAGCUUGCAGGCUACAUUCCUGCAGUCAGAAAGAAUCUCGCCUGAUGGGUACUGGCAUAGCAUCAUCUGGACUACUGAACAAUACUUGGGUUUUUUUAACAAUUUCUGUGGGGUGUACAUGUACGAUGAGGACAGGUAUGUAGUAAGUGGGAUGUGCGGUCAUACAAGCUGAUCAAUAGUUGACUUUGCUGAAUCUCUGUACAGAUAGGAGUCAGAACAUACCUGAAGCUUGAGUCUGGGGAGCUUGGGAGUAGAAGGUCUUAUGGAGUAAUGAACAUGCCGGAACCUGCUGCUCAUUCUACUGAGGGCCUGAAGCUGCAAUGCUUUUUGUGAAUUUCAAGUUGACCUCCUGUUUAUGAUGCAAUGCUCCUCGCACGAGUGAUUUUGAUAUUUGUACGGGUGUCAACAUGCCAUACGUGUUCCCUUGAACUAGUUUGUACAGGUUCAAAAUGAGGAUUUGUCCACCACAGGUCCAAGGUAUGUCUGUAUAUACAUGUACAAUGCCAAUGCACAUUGCAUCAUAAAAUUGAUGUGACGGUCAAUUUGAAGUUCUGUCGGGACAGGACCCAUAAUGGAGUUGCACACUCUUAGGGGCUAUGUACUUUUGUCGUCAUGGAUAUGUGCUCGCUUAUCUGCUAUGCGGAUGCCGUUGGCACUUUGAAGUACAGUACAUGUAUUUCAUCAUGUAGUAUGUGCUAAACUUGUCCUACACUGUGUGCGGUCAACCUAUGUGCCCAGGAAACCUUUUAAAAAGUUCAAGCCGGUCCUGCCGAGAAGAAAUCAAUGCAGUCCGGGGUCCUGCUCUUGGACUCCGGCUGCUGCCCUGGGCUGUGUAGAUCAUGUGUUGGACAAUGUGCGACGACCACGGCCUUUAGCCUGCAGUCAACUACACUUGAUUGACUGGACAGAAAGCCAACUGGUUCUUUCAUGCUCCAUCAGUCCAUGAGAUCAAUUUUGGCUCCGCAUUCAGUCAAGGACAACAGGCAGCUUGACAACGCCACUGUACGUAUAUCUGCAGAGUCCUUGAACAAAGGCGGCAUUCCUGCUAUGCUCGGUUUAUGGUGUUGAUUGCAGUCAGCAUGGCCUAGCUACAGUGACAAACAUCUUACGGUAGGUCUCUGCCGGGGUGCCUAUGGGUGGGUUUUGCUGUUCCAGUCGAUUGCUCAUCGGUCCGUAACUUGAUCUGGCAGGCAAAGAUUCCAUUGACUUUUCGAGGCAACCAAUGUAGGCGGAAUGCAAGAUACUCAGCUUAAAAGCAUCCAGUUGAUCAGAUGGACAUGUGUAUACCAAUGUUGAUUUACAAUGAUAUCAUGGUGUGGGCAUGAACAGGUGGUGCACAUCAGCCACUCAGACUUGCAAUUAUACAGACUCAGUAGAUCUGAUGUCAAGCGACACUGUGUGCACUUACUAAGAACCUGCAAACACUUUUCACUCUUUAAUGCCCUACUCUAGCUCAUUGCAUGUGUUCGCUAUCGUGCAGAGUGAUGCAAUGCCGUUCGAUAACCUUGUUCUAAGUCUGGAUUUUAAUUGACUGCAGCUGGAUGAAAAUUCCACGUCACAUGUUUUAGAUGAACUUUAGCAGUGCCCACCAAGAACUGUUUCAUCCAAUAUUAAUAAUAAUAGUUACAGUUCGCAUGUCACUCAUGGAAGGAUCCAUGGGCUUAACGCAUCUGUCAACGAAAUCCAGGCAGAAGAGCCGACAAAAGGCAUCUCAAUAUUGUUAGAACGUAUCGCAGUAAGAACAACUACGCAAGCGCAGCACAUUUUUCCACAAGCAUCAGCCAUUUUUCUUGUCUAGAGCUAGUUCAAAACAGUCAGCAAUAUCAAUAUUGGCGUGCUUUAGAUCAUUUUUAAUAUUGUCAAUCCAUCUGAGAUGGGGUCGGCCACGUGGGCGCUUGAUGUCCCGGGUAUUAAUUGCCAUCUCCAGUGCUUGGUAGGACGCUGAGUUACGUCCUUCGCGAACAACAUGGCCCAGCCAGAGCAGCCGACGUCUGCGACAGGUAGUGCUGACUGGGCCUUGUCGCGUUGAGGCGUACACCUUGGCAUUCGACAUGUGAUGAUUAUGACAAUCAUCCAAUAUUGCUUCAUAUCAAUCAGCGGGUUGUCGUCAUAGACGCUUCUGGUUGCAUUUUGCCGUAUGAGCUGCUAAGCGUCUUGGCCUUUUGCCAACCACCAAGUGACACUUCACAUCGUGCUGAAGCAAAGCCUGUUGCAUGUUGGCUAUGUGCACUCACUGCAUAGCCUGUUGCAUGUUGGCUAUGUGCACUCACUGCAUUGCGUAACACCCAGGGUAACCCCUGCAGUCAAUGCGGUGGAUAUUCUGUUACUGUAGUGGUAUUUUCAUGUUCAUGCUUGUGUGUUAUUCCCGCUUUGGGCAAUGAUUCAGCUAAACUAUGUCUGCGGGGCCUUGGCUUGCGUCACUCUGUAGUCCGAUGUACUGUUAAUGAGCUACGGGAGAUAUUCUGUUUUUCAAGCUAUGACGGUUUAUACCGGUAUUCAAUUGAGAAUGGUUUCCGCACAAGAUCAGUACGUCAUGGCAUUCGGGAUGGAUAUGGCUUUGGCUACGUCACGGCCUGUUCGUCUGCGUGAGCAUGUCCCAGUGUUUCCCUGGAUGCAAGUGAUGUGUCCCCCUUCAUACACUGUAUGCUGCUAGGCUCUGACUCUGGUGCCCGGUGCUCAACUACAUUGUAGUGUGGUUGUAGA